rnacentral:rRNA from 1 species
UGGGAAAUAUUGCACAAUGGGCGAAAGCCUGAUGCAGCGACGCCGCGUGAGGGAUGACGGCCUUCGGGUUGUAAACCUCUUUCAGUAGGGACGAAGCGCAAGUGACGGUACCUGCAGAAGAAGCACCGGCUAACUACGUGCCAGCAGCCGCGGUAAUACGUAGGGUGCGAGCGUUGUCCGGAAUUACUGGGCGUAAAGAGCUCGUAGGCGGUUUGUCACGUCGUCUGUGAAAUCCUAGGGCUUAACCCUGGACGUGCAGGCGAUACGGGCUGACUUGAGUACUACAGGGGAGACUGGAAUUUCUGGUGUAGCGGUGGAAUGCACAGAUAUCAGGAAGAACACCGAUGGCGAAGGCAGGUCUCUGGGUAGUAACUGACGCUGAGGAGCGAAAGCAUGGGUAGCGAACAGG